rnacentral:rRNA from 1 species
AGCGAACGCUGGCGGCAGGCCUAACACAUGCAAGUCGAACGAACCCUUCGGGGUUAGUGGCGGACGGGUGAGUAACACGUGGGAACGUGCCUUUAGGUUCGGAAUAACUCAGGGAAACUUGUGCUAAUACCGAAUGUGCCCUUCGGGGGAAUGAUUUAUCGCCUUUAGAGCGGCCCGCGUCUGAUUAGCUAGUUGGUGAGGUAAUGGCUCACCAAGGCUACGAUCAGUAGCUGGUCUGAGAGGAUGACCAGCCACAAUGGGACUGAGACACGGCCCAAACUCCUACGGGAGGCAGCAGUGGGGAAUCUUGCGCAAUGGGCGAAAGCCUGACGCAGCCAUGCCGCGUGGAUGAUGAAGGUCUUAGGAUUGUAAAAUCCUUUCACCGGUGAAGAUAAUGACUGUAGCCGGAGAAGAAGCCCCGGCUAACUUCGUGCCAGCCGCCGCAGUAACAC